rnacentral:rRNA from 1 species
UACGUAGGGGGCAAGCGUUGUUCGGAAUUACUGGGCGUAAAGGGCGCGUAGGCGGCACGACAAGUCGGAAGUGAAAGCCCGGGGCUCAACCCCGGAAUGUCUGUCGAAACUGUCGAGCUAGAGUGCAGAAGAGGCAACUGGAAUUCCCAGUGUAGCGGUGAAAUGCGUAGAUAUUGGGAAGAACACCUGAGGCGAAGGCGGGUUGCUGGGCUGACACUGACGCUGAGGCGCGAAAGCCAGGGGAGCGAACGGG